UCCAAGUGUUGGAUAUGGAAUAAUUUACCAUACUGAACUUUUCUCACAUCUUUGCACGAGUUAUUGAUUGCAGUUUAUUAUUGUCUGUUCUAGUGGAUGGUGAGUAUGCAGAGCCGCUUCAAGGAUUUCCAGCCCUGAUGCGACCGUCCAGGGCACCUAAGGAGCAUUCUAGUAAUUAUGGAACCACGAAAGUGCCCUGGAAUAAACUUGCUGAAGAGGGAACAUUUGUUUUAUGAAUUGGCCAUCCGCCAGCAGCCCACGGAAGGAAGUGUGUCGGAGCUGGCAGUGCGUUGACGGUCUGCACUUUCGUCUCCGAUGGUCAUCACGCUGGAAGUGAUUGGCGAGUGUAAGGUGGCAGCAAAAUUCUUGGGUGAACUGCCGGAUGUUUGGAACUUCCUGCCACAAUAUUUCAGUGCACAGUCUUCUGGCCAUCUUCAGGUGAUACUGGUGAAAACUACCUGAGCUCUGGUAUUUAAGGCCUCUCUGGCACAUGUGUGGUGGAUUCACUUGGUGUUGUGAGUGCACUACUCGCUGCAUCGAUAUCAGUUCAAUUGCCUUCCCGCGGUUCAGUCACAGAACUAUGCCGGCUACGGAGGACACGAAGUUUUUCGAUGACUGGAUUCCAUGCCGAAUUCAACUGGUAACUGCCGUAACAAUUAAUAAGAGACUCAUUGUCAGACAGCUGUAUUUCCAUGGAUUCAUUAAUAAUAGAACUCCAAAAGUUAGAUGUAUGGGCCACAAUUUUUCUCUCAUUGUAAUUCAUGGCUUGACCAGUGGAAAUACAGUGUUCGGCGAUGGCAGACUUAUAAGGCUGAAGGAGGCGAGUAUGCCGCUGAUGUUCUACAAUGUGAUCCGGCACAGUAUGCAUCGUUUGCCCUACAUAAGGUUUGCCACACUCACAUGGAACCCUGUAAACACCUGCCUUGCGCAGCUCUAGGUCGUAUUUGACAGAUCCCAACAGCGACGAAAUUUUUGCAGGAGGGCAAAAGAUUGCUUUCACUUUAUAUUUUCUGGUCGUAUUUGACAGAUCCCAACAGCGACGAAAUUUUUGCAGGAGGGCAAAAGAUUGCUUUCACUUUAUAUUUUCUUAGUAUUCUGCCUAUUUGCGCUGAAAUAUUACCAAUAUUUAGUAAAUAGGCAGUCGUUUCAAAGGCCUCUUCCUCUUCUUUGCUCUGUCAUUUACAGUUCUGCAGCACUCUCUCCACUUGCUGGGACAAAUACCCAUUCUUCAGAAAUACAGUCUGCAGGUGCUCCAGUUCUGUUUGCAAACUAUCGGUGUCAGAUAUGAAGUGGGCUUGCUGAAUCAAUGUCUUCAAAACACCCAUCGUUUGUGCCGGAUGGUGGCAACUAGCGACUUUUAAGUAAAGGUCUGUGAGAGUGGGCUUUCUAUAUACCGAAUGACCAAGUGUGCCAUCACUCUUACGUCGCACCAAUACGUCUAAGAAUGGCAAGCAACCCUCCUUCUCCAACUCAAUAGUAAAUUUUAUGUUUUCGUGUAUGGACGUUGUAGGAACUCUCGCAGACGAUCCAAACCAUGAGGCCAAACUAUAAAAGUAUCAUCAACAUAUCGCCAAAAUACUGUUGGUUUAAAAGUGGCUGAGGCGAGUGCUCGCUCCUCAAAAUCUUCCAUAAAAUGAUUGGCUAACGGGACAGACAAAGGACUCCCCAUGGCGACACCGUCUGAUUGCUCAUAAAACUCAUUGUUAAAUAAAAAAUAUGUACAGGAGAGAGUAUGUGCUCUAACAGUGCUGUAAAGUCUGCUCCAAACCUAUUGCCAAUAAGGUGUAGUGAGUCCCCAAGAGGUACAUUUGUAAAAAGUGAAACUACGUCAAAACUGACCAACAAGUCAUAACUUUGCAUCUGCAAUAACUUAAGUCCGCACUAGAAUUCUUUAUGUGAUGUGGACACUUUCCUACCAUUGGUUUCAGCAAAGACGCCAAAUACUUUGCUAAGUCAUAAGUGGCUGCUCCAAUAUUACUCACAAUUGGACAUAGUGGCACAUUAUCCUCGUGGAUCUUCGGCAAUCCGUAUAGCCUAGGUGGAACUGAACUAUUUGGUUUUAGUUUCUUAAUUACCUCCUUUGGUAAGGAAAUGUGAUUCAGAAGUUCUGCUGUUUACCUCACCACUCGGGUAGUUGGAUCCUUACAUAUUUUGCGAUAUGUUGAGUUGCUUAAUAAAACAUUAAUCUUAUUAAUGUAGUCCUCCCGUAACAUUAAAACACUAGCAUUACCUUUGUCCGAUUUAAGUACCACAGUAAUAUUCUUUGUUAGAGUGUCAGUUCUUACAGGUAAAAAAAAUAAAAUAAAAUAAAAAUAAAAAAAAUUAACUGAAAACUGAAACAAUGAAAAAUUCCC